AGGGAUCAGGGUGCCCUGGGAGUUACUAAUUUAGAUAUAAAAAAUAUAAGUCUUUUGUGCAAAUGGCUUUGGAGGCUAGAGAACGAGGAUGGAGAUUGGCAGGAGUCCCAUUUCUGGAAUGGUUUGAUGGAGGUUAAAGAUAUUGUUUAUAGAUGCUGUUAGAGAGUUGUGGGUGAUAGUCGCAAAACUAAAUUUUGGGAGGAUGCUUGGUUAAGAGACAAACCCCUAUGUUUGAUUUUUCCACGUCUUUACAACUUGACCUUUGGUAGGCAUGUCACUAUUGCGAAGGUGUUUAGCCAGGAUUUUGAUUGCAUCAGAUUUAGAAGAUUUGCAUGGGAGACCCUCGAUAUGUGGAACAAAUUACUUGAUAUGUGUAGUCGGAUGACUUUGUCGGAGGAACCAUACAAAGUUAAAUGGCUUCUUACCUACUUUGUAAGCUUCUCGAUUAAAUCUCUGUACCAUUAUCUUGUUGCUCGACAAGUUAUAUUCCCUUAUAAGUUGCUGUGCAGAAUGAAGAUGCCAUUGAAAAUUAAAGCCUUCUCCUGGUUAGUGAUCAAGAAUAGGAUCCUAACCAAAGAUAACUUAACUAAAAAAGGUUGGAAAGGUGCUAAGCAUUGUGUAAUGUGGGGUGCUCCUUGGGCAACCAAAGAUCCCAUGUCUUUUUCCUUGAAUUAUGCUAGAAUUGGUUGCCUAACUAUACUGACAAAGAUAGAGUAG
rnacentral:rRNA from 1 species